AUGGAGGCAGCACGGGUCCCCACUCUGGCCUUUGAAUGCUGCCGCUGGAGUGCCGUCUUCUCUCCUCCUGCCUGCCUGCCUGUCUGCCCUGCGUUUUCUCUUCUGCUCCUCAGGAUCCCUCCUCUUCUCCUUCCUUCUCCUUCCUUCUCCUCUCCUCUCCUCUCCUCUCCUCUUCUCUUCCUUCUCUUCUCUUCUCUUCCUUCUCUUCUCUUCCUUCCUUCCCUCCUCUGGUCCCGGCUUCCCAGCCCGCAGUGCCGCCCCUGGACAGGCGGGGGAGGAGGCUGGGGGGGCGGGGAGGGGGGAAGCGGCUCCGUCCCGGGCCCGGAGGCUGCGAGUGGGUGCAGGGCUGGCCCGGCUCCGCGGCCCCCUUCCCCUCCCCCCCCGCCGCCGCGGCGGAGCCUCAGUCAGCGACCCCCCAUGGCCCCGGGGGUGGCGGCGCCGGGCCCGGAGAACGCGGCGACGGCGGGAGCGCCAGCAGCUUCAGCACCGCGGCCAGCGCCGGCCCGGCCAGCACCUCGGCCAGCGACCGGGCGCGCUCAGCCCGCGCGGGCGGCGAGGGGCGGGCCGCGGAGGCUCGGCCGCCGGGCGGGGGUCUUCGGCGGGGGUCUCUGGGAGGCUUGCUUUAUUGUUCUGCAGCCGGAACGAGAGGUGGCGGCGGCGGCGGCGGCGGCGGGCGGCGGGCGGCGGGCGGCGGGCGGGGGGCGGGGGUCCUCGGGGGGAGGGGUGCGCAGGAGGGCGGGCCGAGGGAAGGAAGGAGGGAGGUACGGGGGCUUCGGGGGCGGGGCUCGGCGCUCGGACAGCUCCUGGGCCCAGCCUCCUGCGCCCGCGGCCGCCUCUGCCUGCGGCCAGGCCCAGCCUCUGGCUUUUAAAGCCCAGGAGCUGCGGGAGGGGGAGGGAGGGGAGGGGACAGAGGCCGGCGGAAAUGGCUGCGCUGCGCCCGGCCCCGGCAAGGGUCUCCCGGGAGGGGUCUUGGGGAUGCCGCGGCCCCGGCAUGUGUGGAGUUCCCCUGAGCAGCUCCCGGAAUGGAAGCCCAGCGGUCCGCGGCAUUGUCAGGAGUAG
rnacentral:lncRNA from 1 species